rnacentral:rRNA from 1 species
UACAGAGGUGGCAAGCGUUGUUCGGAAUUACUGGGCGUAAAGGGCGCGUAGGCGGCCCGUCAAGUCCCGUGUGAAAGCCCCCGGCUCAACCGAGGAACUGCGUCCGAUACUGGUGGGCUUGAAUCCGGGAGAGGGAUGUGGAAUUCCAGGUGUAGCGGUGAAAUGCGUAGAUAUCUGGAGGAACACCGGUGGCGAAGGCGGCAUCCUGGACCGGUAUUGACGCUGAGGCGCGAAAGCCAGGGGAGCAAACGGG